rnacentral:rRNA from 1 species
UACGUAGGGUGCAAGCGUUAAUCGGAAUUACUGGGCGUAAAGCGUGCGCAGGCGGUUUGGUAAGACAGAUGUGAAAUCCCUGGGCUCAACCUAGGAACUGCGUCUGAUACUGGAUGGCUUGAAUCCGGGAGAGGGAUGCAGAAUUCCAGGUGUAGCGGUGAAAUGCGUAGAUAUCUGGAGGAAUACCGGUGGCGAAGGCGGCAUCCUGGACCGGCAUUGACGCUGAGGAGCGAAAGCUAGGGGAGCAAACGGG